UACGGGGGGGGCAAGCGUUGUUCGGAUUUACUGGGCGUAAAGGGCGCGUAGGCGGCGCAACAAGUCACUUGUGAAAUCUCCGGGCUUAACCCGGAGCGGCCAAGUGAUACUGUCGUGCUAGAGUGCGGAAGGGGCUACUGGAAUUCUCGGUGUAGCGGUGAAAUGCGUAGAUAUCGAGAGGAACACCUGCGGCGAAGGCGGGUUGCUGGGCUGACACUGACGCUGAGGCGCGAAAGCCAGGGGAGCGAACGGG
rnacentral:rRNA from 1 species